ensembl:lncRNA
CGUUUAUUUCGGAUCAGAGCGGCAGCUGAUUUAACACAAGACUCCAGGAUUAAUCUUAGCCUGGCUGUUAGCCUGCUCUGGAGCAGGCUAGCUGCAAAGAAUAAAUCUCCAUGGUUACUUGGUUGGGUUUAAUUCAGCCUGCUUUUGUGCAACCAAGUCAAAGCUAAAUUAAUCCAGGAUAACUUGGAUAUCCCAACUUAAUCCCUUAUCCUGGUUUUGUGCAACAGGCCCCUGGUGUGGUUCAUUUUGGUUUUGUGUUUAUACUGGAUAGCCCACGUCACUGGUUUUGUCUCCCCUUUUUGAUUAAAUAUGGAUUACUUCCACCAUUCUGUCUCUGUACCUGUGUCCUACCACAACCGUGACACACACACCAUUCUACAGAAAGAUGCUUUGGGAGGACCCGAUGUUAAAGGAAACGAGGUUUGCUCUGUUAAUCAAACCUGCAACUUAAAGAAGUUACCAUGACAAUUACUAAUGAUCAUUUUAAAACAAUGCUAACAAAUUCCACAGAACAUUUGAUCUUAAUUCCACACAGUUGUGCAUUCCAAAUAUUAUUACAGUAAUGAUUAGUCCGAAGCAUAUGGGAUUGUCUUCUGGAGCUUCUGGGCAAUGGUCAAGUUGACGUUAUGGCUCCAAGGUGUGAUCAAUGCCACUUGCAAUUGUUGACUUCUCCAUCUUCUGCUCCUCAUUACUGGAGUAGAGAACCCUUAGAUAAGCAUUCAAACACAGUAGAUGUUAUCAGAGGUUGGUUCUUCACCAGAGGUGAUGGAAAUGGACAAGGUUGAUGAGGAGGAAGUACUGGAGAAGCUCCUGGGUCUGCCUGUUGAGGUUAAUUGAAUAUUAUAAUAACAGAAAUAUGCAUUUUCAUUCAUUGUCAUUUGAAUCUGAGGUUACAUCAAAGUCUUGAGUAGGCAAGGUAAAAAAAACAUACGUUUUUCUCUACUUGAGUAAGACAAUCAAGCCUGAAUGCUUAAUUUGCUGCGAGGAACAGUGUUUGCUAAAUAAAACAUUUACAGUUAUUUGAUUGUUUGAGGUGAUGGUUGUGGUGUGAUAGAGAUGAGACUUCCUGCUUCAAGUGAUUCUAUAUUGUCAAACUUCACUGAUGGUAGUAAAGUUAUAAUGCUAUUUAAUGUGAAUCUUCCCUAAAGUGGAUUGACAGCCUUUUAAAACAACUUGAGUUGAUUAAUCAUGUAAAGGGGUUCAGGUAGGGGGUAACAUUGCCCAACAAAAUUAAGGGAACAUGUAAUCAUCACAGUAUAACACCAAGUAAAUUAAACUUCAGGGAUAUCAAUCUGUCCAGUUAGGAACCACAAGUGCUUGUGAAUCAAUGUCACCUUUUAUGCUGAUAAUAAAAGUGACAACAGGUGCAACAGCAACACCACCCCCAAACACAGAC